rnacentral:rRNA from 1 species
GACGAACGCUGGCGGCGUGCUUAACACAUGCAAGUCGAACGGAAAGGCCCUGCUUUUGUGGGGUGCUCGAGUGGCGAACGGGUGAGUAACACGUGAGUAACCUGCCCUUGACUUUGGGAUAACUUCAGGAAACUGGGGCUAAUACCGGAUAGGAGCUCCUGCUGCAUGGUGGGGGUUGGAAAGUUUCGGCGGUUGGGGAUGGACUCGCGGCUUAUCAGCUUGUUGGUGGGGUAGUGGCUUACCAAGGCUUUGACGGGUAGCCGGCCUGAGAGGGUGACCGGCCACAUUGGGACUGAGAUACGGCCCAGACUCCUACGGGAGGCAGCGGUGGGGAAUAUUGCACAAUGGGGGGAAGCCUGAUGCAGCAACGCCGCGUGCGGGAUGACGGCCUUCGGGUUGUAAACCGCUUUCGCCUGUGACGAAGCGUGAGUGACGGUAAUGGGUAAAGAAGCACCGGCUAACUACGUG